CCUACGGGUGGCAGCAGUGGGGAAUAUUGGGCAAUGGGCGCAAGCCUGACCCAGCAACGCCGCGUGAAGGAAGACGGCUUUCGGGUUGUAAACUUCUUUUCUGAGGGACGAAGAAAGUGACGGUACCUCAGGAAUAAGCCACGGCUAACUACGUGCCAGCAGCCGCGGUAAUACGUAGGUAGCAAGCGUUAUCCGGAUUUAUUGGGUGUAAGGGGCGUGUAGGCGGGAAAGCAAGUUAGAUGGGAAAACCCAGGGCCCAACCCUGAGCCUGCAGUUGAAACUGUUUUUCUUGAGUGCUGGAGAGGCAAGCGGAAUUCCGUGUGUAGCGGUGAAAUGCGUAGAUAUACGGAGGAACACCAGUGGCGAAGGCGGAUUGCUGGACAGUAACUGACGCUGAGGCGCGAAAGCGUGGGGAGCAAACAGGAUUAGAUACCCUUGUAGUC
rnacentral:rRNA from 1 species